GGUCUUCUUAGAUGCCUGCCAAGGAUCCUGUUAGUUGGAUUUUUCCCCCUGUGAUUUUUGAGCUAUUACUUCUUUUAGUUUUUCAUGGAAAUUAGUGGCUGAGAGUGAACCUAAAAAGCCUUUGAUCACUUAACUUGGCAAAUGGGUCAAAGCUAUAUGUGAGUAAAUAUCAGGUUUUCUUAAUCUACCAGCUAAACUAUGUUCAUAAUUUUUAGUAACUGAGCUGAUUUACUGCAAACAUAUUAAGCCAGAAGGAUAGGUAUGUGACUCUUUAUGUCAGUAGUUCUUAAACUAAAGUAUGCAAUAGGAACACCAGGAAGACUUACUGAAAAAGAAUGCUGAGCCCCACUC